GGUUGGUUAUUUUAAUAUGGCCCGUUCUGGAAACCACCUCAGAUGAAGGUAGUGUUUUUGUUGACCUGCUAGUUUAGAUUUUAUUAAUACUUAUCUCUGUCAUUAUCUUUUUAUUUACUUGAAAUUCUGUGUUCAUGUCCAUUUUAUACCAAAUAUGUUUGAUACCUAUGUUAAUCCUUAUAAUAAAGUUUUCCUUGAUUUGCAAUUAUGUUGCAAAUGUUCUUGUAUAUGGAGGUUGGCAAAAUCAUGGGAUCAAUUUAGAAAUAUCAUGUGUGCUUAUUUAAUAUACUAUGACAACGAAUAAAAUGGCAUAUGAUUUGAGAAUUUGUUUUAUGAUGAUCAUUUGUAUAAAUUUUAGUAGGCCAUCUUUUGAACUGAUUUAUAGGUUUAUAACUAGGAUGAGAUUGUAAAUAAGAUGUUCUCGAGAAGUGAGAGAUCGGCAUUGAAGAAUGCUUAUCAAGUAUCUCUGGAUUGAUUUAAUUGAAGGCAAACAAGAAAAGAAGCAUAUGGUCCUAUCAACUGCAAAACUGCAUCACACAAUGUAAUAUUGAAUAACUUUUUGGGAUUGAAUUUGUC
rnacentral:lncRNA from 1 species